rnacentral:lncRNA from 1 species
CAACUUUGCAUCAGGACACUCCAGCUCAACAUCAGGCACCUCCACAUCCACACUGGGGCCUGUUAAAUCUCCCUCCAAUUUUGGCAAAGACACAUCCACAUCCCCUUUGACUUUGGGGCCUUUCAAGUGUAAGUCCACAUCAGGCAUGGAGAUCUUGGGGGCCUUGAAGUGCAUCUCAGGCAUCUUAAACUUGGGCCCUUUCAACUUUGCAUCAGGACACUCCAGAUCAACAUCGGGCACCUCCGCUUCCACAAAAGGACCUUUGACAUCAACUUGCGGCCCUCUGAGAUCACCUUCCAGUUCUGGCACAGAAGCAUCUAUCUCUCCCUUCAGUUUGGGUCCCUUCAAAUUCAAGUCCACAUCAGGCAUGGAGAUCUUGGGGGCCUUGAAGUGCAUCUCAGGCAUCUUAAAC